CCGCCUGGGGAGUACGGCCGCAAGGUUAAAACUCAAAUGAAUUGACGGGGGCCCGCACAAGCGGUGGAGCAUGUGGUUUAAUUCGAUGCAACGCGAAGAACCUUACCUACUCUUGACAUCCACAGAAGACUGCAGAGAUGCGGUUGUGCCUUCGGGAACUGUGAGACAGGUGCUGCAUGGCUGUCGUCAGCUCGUGUUGUGAAAUGUUGGGUUAAGUCCCGCAACGAGCGCAACCCCUAUCCUUAUUUGCCAGCACGUAAUGGUGGGAACUCUAGGGAGACUGCCGGUGAUAAACCGGAGGAAGAUGGGGACGACGUCAAAGUCAUCAUGGCCCUUACGAGUAGGGCUACACACGUGCUACAAAUGGCGAGUACAGAGGGUUGCAAAAGCCGCGAGGUGGAGC
rnacentral:rRNA from 1 species